GAUGAACGCUGGCGGCGCGCCUAACACAUGCAAGUCGAACGAUUAAAGCACCUUCGGGUGUGUAUAAAGUGGCGAACGGCUGAGUAACACGUGGGCAACCUGCCCCUUUCAUUGGGAUAGCCACGGGAAACCGUGGAUAAUACCGAAUACUUCGAGACUUCCGCAUGGAAGACUCGAGAAAGCUCCGGCGGAGAGGGAUGGGCCCGCGGCCUGUUAGCUUGUUGGUGGGGUAACGGCCUACCAAGGCAAUGAUGGGUAGCUGGGUUGAGAGACCGACCAGCCAGAUUGGGACUGAGACACGGCCCAGACUCCCACGGGAGGCAGCAGUGGGGAAUCUUGCACAAUGGGCGAAAGCCUGAUGCAGCGACGCCGCGUGCGGGAUGAAGGCCUUCGGGUUGUAAACCGCUUUCAGCAGGGACGAGGCGAAAGUGACGGUACCUGCAGAAGAAGCCCCGGCUAACUACGUG
rnacentral:rRNA from 1 species